GUGCUCACUUCGGAAGAACAUAUACUAAAAUUGGAAUGAUACAGAGAAGAUUAGCAUAGC
ensembl:snRNA U6 U6 spliceosomal RNA